rnacentral:rRNA from 2 species
AAUCCAUAGGUUAAUGAGGCGAACCGGGGGAACUGAAACAUCUAAGUACCCCGAGGAAAAGAAAUCAACCGAGAUUCCCCCAGUAGCGGCGAGCGAACGGGGAGGAGCCCAGAGCCUGAAUCAGCAUGUGUGUUAGUGGAAGCGUCUGGAAAGGCGCGCGAUACAGGGUGACAGCCCCGUACACAAAAGCGCAUGUGCUGUGAGCUCGAUGAGUAGGGCGGGACACGUGGUAUCCUGUCUGAAUAUGGGGGGACCAUCCUCCAAGGCUAAAUACUCCUGACUGACCGAUAGUGAACCAGUACCGUGAGGGAAAGGCGAAAAGAACCCCGGCGAGGGGAGUGAAAAAGAACCUGAAACCGUGUACGUACAAGCAGUGGGAGCACAGGUUUACCUGUGUGACUGCGUACCUUUUGUAUAAUGGGUCAGCGACUUAUAUUCUGUAGCAAGGUUAACCGAAUAGGGGAGCCGGAGGGAAACCGAGUCUUAAUUGGGCGUUAAGUUGCAGGGUAUAGACCCGAAACCCGGUGAUCUAGCCAUGGGCAGGUUGAAGGUUGGGUAACACUAACUGGAGGACCGAACCGACUAAUGUUGAAAAAUUAGCGGAUGACCUGUGGCUGGGGGUGAAAGGCCAAUCAAACCGGGAGAUAGCUGGUUCUCCCCGAAAGCUAUUUAGGUAGCGCCUCGUGAAUUCAUCUCCGGGGGUAGAGCACUGUUUCGGCUAGGGGGCCAUCCCGGCUUACCAACCCGAUGCAAACUGCGAAUACCGGAGAAUGUUAUCACGGGAGACACACGGCGGGUGCUAACGUCCGUCGUGAAGAGGGAAACAACCCAGACCGCCAGCUAAGGUCCCAAAGUCAUGGUUAAGUGGGAAACGAUGUGGGAAGGCCCAGACAGCCAGGAUGUUGGCUUAGAAGCAGCCAUCAUUUAAAGAAAGCGUAAUAGCUCACUGGUCGAGUCGGCCUGCGCGGAAGAUGUAACGGGGCUAAACCAUGCACCGAAGCUGCGGCAGCGAACGUAUCACUUAAAGCGAUUCAGCGGGUUACGAUUGACGGAGCGAAGCGACGUCAAAGCGUAUACAAAGUCGAGUCGGUUUA